UGGGGAAUAUUGCACAAUGGGGGAAACCCUGAUGCAGCAACGCCGCGUGAGUGAUGAAGGUUUUCGGAUCGUAAAGCUCUGUCUUUGGGGAAGAUAAUGACGGUACCCAAGGAGGAAGCCACGGCUAACUACGUGCAG
rnacentral:rRNA from 1 species